ensembl:lncRNA
ACACAAUGUGAGCUAUAGUUAAGCCUGCAUAAGUAAUUCUAAUGUAAAGACUUGUUUUUCAGCUGCUUGCGUCUUUCAAGCAUUGGCCUUCUAGUCUUACCCUUGACUGGUAGAAGCUUUGUGGUGUUGAAGUGCUCAAGGCCACCUCACAGAAUUCAUUUUUGUUGAUAACCAUGCCCAUUAUUAAGGGAAAAAAAUAAGAAUUAAUUAAAUUUAGUUGAGGAACAUUAGUGAUGUCUUGAUAGGGAAACGAAAGGGCAAAACAGUAUUUCUAAACCACUUUAUCCCAAAGUUAAGGAAAAUCCUUUGUCAUCACAGAGACUUCCCCAAAUUUCCAUUUCCUCUUUAUGCAGCUUAAAUCACCCUGUUGAUGAGAUCCAGCCAAAAGUGCCUUUUAGUGCUGCAUUCUGGCCAGCUUUGUCCAAGUGUAACUGAAGAGUUGGCACCUCCAAUGGGAAGAGCCAGGGAGAAAGUACCAGCAAAAUAAACACACUGGAAUUGUGAAAACUUGUCUUACGUUUCUGGAAAAAAACAGGUUACAUCUGCUUAAGAGUGAUGCAGAAACUCCCCACAAGCCAAGACCAACAUCUUUUCAGAUUUGGAUAACUCGAGUCUGAAGAAGUGUUGCUGAGGUUUGGAAAUGCAGCUGAAAAUGAAGUGAACACCCAUGCACAGCAAUGUCAAACCAAUGGCCCUACAAUAUUCAAAAAUGCAAAAAAAUACAACACACUUAGAUGAAUUAAUCAAGAAAAGAUCAACUAAUGGCUCUUAAACACAACCAUCCAGAUUAAGACCCAAAGCAGGAAGUUCUGAUGCUGCUGGGUUGGGAGGGUGUGCUAGCAAAGGAUGGCUGUUUCCAGGUGGACAUCCUUAAAGCCUCCACAGAAUUGUUUCCAGUGAACAUCUCUCCUGUGCUGCAGGGUUUGCUAUCCCAUACUGUGGUUAUUUAAAGCAUGCACAAGGUUGUCAGGGUAAUGGAGUUUGAAGUGACAUGCCUGGAGUUGGCAGAUACAUUUCAGGCACCCCUACACUCUUCUACCCCUUAAUUUAAACUGUGUUCAAAGUGGGCAUGGUCCCUGCAGCACAAUCCAAGUGUGCUACCUUCCGUGGGAAUUUCAUUCCCUGGCCAAGCAGGCCAUUACCAAAUCCAGAUAGUGAGUUGUAUGUACAGCCAAAUGUUGACCAAGAUUCAGAAAAUUAAUUAUAAGUAACUUCAAUCAGGGAGGAACAGACACAAGGAGGGGUACACACAUAUCAGGGCUUAUUCCCAUAGGAUUUUUUAAAAAGAAAUCAGCAACAACUUCAGAGGCAGAAUAUUGAAAACUAGUUUGGAAAAUUAAGACCAUUAAAAUACUUUGAGCUCAAGCAUAGAAAUUAUAAAUUAUUCCUUAAAUUUGUUUGCAACAUGUUUCUUGGAUUUCAAGUGACACAAGAAACACAAAGUCAUAUGAUACUUGCAAAUAGAAUAGACUGCCUGAAAGUGGCAAAUUCAUGUUAUUCUUUUAUAAAUGCUCCAUAGAAAGUGGAAAGCUUGGAAGUUAAAGGGAAAUUACAGUGGUCUGAGGAUACAUACAACUGAAUAAUUAUGAACUCCACUGAAAAUUAUUCCAUUGAAAACCAAUUAACAGCCUUGUCUAUACAUCUCUUUCAAAAGCCUGGUAGUAGAAAUGUCUCUUUUGGUAUUGAUUUCCAUUGACUCUCAUACACUUGCCUGCCAUGUAAGCUAUUUAAGUAAAUGAUUUUUUUUUCCCAGGCUCCACUUUUGAACAAUAUUGAAGUGUUAAAACAUAGCAGCAUUGUCUAUUAAACCAAAAUACCCUAUUAAUAACAUUGAGUACCGUGCCUCUGUAUAAAACACAAAGAAAGUGUGUGCAUUUCCACAUGGUUUUACACACAUCCUUUUUCCUGAGUGUA